AUUUCAACAACAUGUUGAUUGUUAACGACUGCAAGUAACGUCUGCUUAGAAAGUUAGUAAUUAUAUAGUCCAGUCUUGUCGACUCCGUAGAUCACUUGGGGAUGACUGGAACACACAUUUAUCCCUUCAUAAGUGUAAACCCGCCUAGGAGAAACAUCUAAGGACUAUGUCCAAAUUCCCAAAGUAGGAAAACGGAGGACUCGGAAGCUUUGAAAGAACAACAGAGGAUUACUAAGAAGGAAAUACGCAGAGAAAAAAUGAGGUACGAAGGUAAACUGGCCAAAAAU